GACGAACGCUGGCGGCGUGCUUAACACAUGCAAGUCGAACGGAAAGGCCCUGCUUGCAGGGUACUCGAGUGGCGAACGGGUGAGUAACACGUGGGUGAUCUGCCCUGCACUUCGGGCUAAGCCUGGGAAACUGGGUCUAAUACCGGAUAGGAGCCAUUUUUAGUGUGAUGGUUGGAAAGUUUUUUCGGUGUAGGAUGAGCUCGCGGCCUAUCAGCUUGUUGGUGGGGUAAUGGCCUACCAAGGCGGCGACGGGUAGCCGGCCUGAGAGGGUGGACGGCCACAUUGGGACUGAGAUACGGCCCAGACUCUUACGGGAGGCAGCAGUGGGGAAUAUUGCACAAUGGGCGCAAGCCUGAUGCAGCGACGCCGCGUGGGGGAUGACGGCCUUCGGGUUGUAAACUCCUUUCGCUAGGGACGAAGCUUUUUGUGACGGUACCUAGAUAAGAAGCACCGGCUAACUACGUG
rnacentral:rRNA from 1 species